GUAGAGAUUGAGAACUAAGUAGUAAAAAUAGAAAAGAGAUAGUAGUAGCAAUCAUUAAUGGUGGAGAGUCAGAUGGUAUUGUGAACUUAAGUUAGAACUAGAUGAGGAUAGUCUAAUUCGAUAGGAGCCUUGGAAGAAGCUCCUUCAAAAACUCCUUUGCACCAUCUCUACCAUUGCGUACAUUAGAAAUAAGGAUCAGACAAAUAAAAACAUGAGAG
rnacentral:lncRNA from 1 species